UGGGGAAUAUUGCACAAUGGGCGCAAGCCUGAUGCAGCAACGCCGCGUGAAGGAUGAAGGCCUUCGGGUUGUAAACUUCUGUCCUAGGGGAAGAAACAAAUGACAUUACCCUUGGAGGAAGCCCCGGCUAACUACGUGCCAGCAGCCGCGGUAAUACGUAGGGGGCGAGCGUUAUCCGGAAUUAUUGGGCGUAAAGAGUGCGUAGGUGGCACCUUAAGCGCAGGGUUUAAGGCAAUGGCUCAACCAUUGUUCGCCUUGCGAACUGGGGUGCUUGAGUGCAGGAGGGGAAAGUGGAAUUCCUAGUGUAGCGGUGAAAUGCGUAGAUAUUAGGAGGAACACCAGUGGCGAAGGCGACUUUCUGGACUGUUACUGACACUGAGGCACGAAAGCGUGGGGAGCAAACA
rnacentral:rRNA from 2 species